CACUUCAACUAUUCUACUGUUCAAGAUCGACAGUGAUGAAAUCAGUUGUUCCAUCUCCUUCUCCUCAGGGUUGGAAGAUAACGCAGAAGACAACCACCUCUACGCUCGGAACCCAAUCGACAUCGCUUCUCUUCGUCCCUCCUAACUCGAAGAGUUCGUCAAAGAAACCAUUACUGUGUCUGAGAGGCAUCUCAUCUUGGCUGCUAGAAAAGUUUCUCAAUCAGAAGCCAGUUUACUUGGAUCAAGAAGCUUCCAACAGCCAAGAAUUUCUUUCUGUGAUCCAGAGGAUAUGAAAAGCUGGUGAUGUGGAGAUAUUAGCUGUCACCGAUGUCGUAUGGACUGAAUGACAGCCGGUGCAAUCAAUUCCUUGGAAGAAGUUGGAGACAUAUCCUUACCAACUCAACAGAACCUUUAGGAGUAAUGGUCUCUUGAAGUCUCGAGGAGUGUUCCCAGAAGCACGUUGGUACUGGAUUGGUGUAGUAGCUUUAUUUGGAUUUAUUCUUCUAUAUAUUCAACUUCCUUUUUAUUUUGGCACUUCAGUAUCUUCAACCUCUUGGUAAGCCUCAUGCAGUACUUUCCAAAGAGGCCUUGGCAAAGAAACAAGCCACCAAAACUGGAGAGGUCUUUGAAUUAUUGUCAACAGGAAAGAGCUAUAUUGGUGCAGCUAAUGAAAGAAUAGAUAAUAUGUUAGUCGAUAUUACUGAUUAGCGAGGAAUGGUUCUUCUUUUUAAACCCCAGUUACAUCUGAUAAAAUCAGAUAUGCUGUUGACAUGCCACAGGUACCUUCAAUUCAUUUUUUGGCCAAGUAAUGAAUUGAAGGUAGAGAUUGAGGCUUGUAAUCAUAAUCAUUGUGUUGUUCACCUCUUACACCUUGAUCAUGAAAAUCUUGGUGAUAUUCCCUCCUGAAAGCACUAUCAAGAGAUAAACCAGCUUCGAUAUUUUUGCAUUUGUAAAAUGGCAAUUCAUCAUUCCUUUGCUUUUCACUCCUUGUUGACUUUGCAACAAAUGUUUGCUUUCCUUGAUUGUACUCUUGAACCUGCUCAGAUGUCAUAAAAGGUGCCUGAGCUUCUGUUCU